rnacentral:lncRNA from 1 species
UUUGAAGAGAGAAUAAGACCUUCAUUAGGUAUUGUAUAAGGUUCCAACCACAUGAUCUCUAUUGUAGCUGGACAAAUGUUUUUUUUGAUAUAUUAUCUUUUUUGACAUUUGUACUCCUCAUUUUAUUAUUGUGUCACUUCUUUGAAUAAUGUUGAGUAGUGUGCUUAGGUUAUCUACAAUAUAAGUACAAUCCUUUCUGAUGGUGAUGAGUCUUUUUUGCU